GUGGGUAUAGCUUAGCUGGUUAAAGCGCCAGAUUGUGGCUCUGGAGACCGAGAGUUCGAAUCUCUUUAUCCACCCCA
rnacentral:tRNA from 5 species